rnacentral:lncRNA from 1 species
UGUCCCCAAAGAGGAGAAGGGUCCCACCAGCCCCCUUCCCAGGGCACAGCCCCUGUGUUUCUGUACUGGUACCAGCACCCAUCUUUACUCCAGACUGGGAGAAGGCUGCCCGGGGUGGGAAGCAGAGGCUGCUGGAAGCCCUGAGGAGAAACCCAAACCUCCUGAAGCAGUUUCGGCCCAUCCUGGAGGAAGUGCUGGAGGAAAAGCUGGAGAGCAUGGGGGUCAAGAAGGUUGCGAAGGGGAUCUCCACUCGGACCUACAAAAGCCUCCAGGCUCUGGUCAGGCUUCAGCAGCAACAGAAGGCUGAGAAAUUUCCUGGUCUCCUCCACCUGAGGGAUGAGUUGGUCCGAGAAGUCAUGAGGAAAGUCAGGCGAUGCAAGAAGCCCAGCAGUGCUUUACCUCGACAGCGCUCCAUCAUCCCAGCUCAAAGCCUGAAGACCCCCAGGUCCCUUCGUGGGUCACAGCCCAUGGCAAUACCAGCUGCAUUAGAGCCUGAAGCCUCGGUGGUACCCCAGCCUUCUCCUCGGAGCAGACCCCGCUCCACCCACAGCCCCCCGAGGACUCCCUGGGGCACCCUGCAGAUGUCCAAAGCCAGUAGCCCCCGUCGAGGAAUUGCCCCACGGCGGAGGUGAGUCCCAUCACCUCCUUUCAGUCUCCAGGCAGGUGGGCAGUGCCCAAGACCCUCAGCCAUCAGCCACCCCCCAAGUAUUCUGGGUUCUGCCCAAAUACCAGCACCUCUGGAAACUGCCAAGCAGUGGGUGAUUGUGGCACCCCAGAGACAUUUAUUUAGACAAGGAAUAUCCUGGGAUGUCCCUUGACCAUAUGGGCUGACUGAAACAGUUGGCAAAGUCAGACUUGAGGGUUUGUACCCACCAUGAGGUGCUGGAGACAAACACAGGGCAUUUCCCACUGGUCUUCAGCUCCUUCUUCCCCUCCCAGAACCUCCACAAGGGGAUGAAGGAGUUCCCUUGGGGUUUUAGGGCAAAAAGAGUAAAGAUAUAAACCAAAAGCUUAGAGAAACUGUGCAGAGAAGGAAUAACAUGGAGAGGGUAUGAGAUGGCAGCAGAGAGGAAGAGGAGCUCAUCUAUGACCAAGGCCAGGUGAGGAAAAGGAGUUACUUGUUUGUCCCAGGAGUAAGAGAAAACCAGGUGGAGGUUUUAAACCCAAGCAAAGCAAUAGUGGGGGAAGGUCUGGGUGUGGGUACUUGCUGGAGAUGCUUUUGCAGCUGGUGGGUGUGAUGGAUCUGUCCAUGUCCAAGGGGAGCGCAGGGCUUCUCCAUAGGCUGCCCUGCUCAGGGCUGGAUCACAGCCCAGGGCUUCCUGCACCUGCUUCAGAAGAGGGGAAGGGGGACACCAGAGCACCCCCAGGCCUGACCCACCUCUCUCUGCACCAGCCCAGAAGUGGUGCUAGGGGGGAAGAAGCCCACCCUGUCCCCGGUGAAGCUCAGCCCUUUCUCUGCAGCGGCGCAGGGGGAUGAGACUGACUCUGAGGGGUCAGACCAGGACUGGCUGGAGGAAAUUGCUGGUUCAGGUACUCUUCUCCCUCUUCUUGUAGCAACCCCUGCGGGUCAGCGAGGUGGUGGGGACAGCCCUAGUUACCACCAUCAGUGCCACUGUGUCACCUUCUUCCCGG